rnacentral:rRNA from 1 species
AUUGAACGCUGGCGGCGUGCUUAACACAUGCAAGUCGAUCGGUAACAGGUGUAGCAAUACAUGCUGACGAGAGGCGGACGGGUGAGUAAUGCUUGGGAAUCUGCCUAUUAGUGGGGGACAACCCGGGGAAACUCGGGCUAAUACCGCAUACGCUCUACGGAGGAAAGCCGGGGACCGCAAGGCCUGGCGCUAAUAGAUGAGCCCAAGUCGGAUUAGCUAGUUGGUAGGGUAACGGCCUACCAAGGCGACAAUCCGUAGCUGGUCUGAGAGGACGACCAGCCACACCGGAACUGAGACACGGUCCGGACUCCUACGGGAGGCAGCAGUGGGGAAUAUUGGACAAUGGGGGCAACCCUGAUCCAGCGACGCCGCGUGGGUGAAGAAGGCCUGCGGGUUGUAAAGCCCUUUCGGUGGGGAAGAAAAGUCUCGACCUAAUACGUCGGGACCUUGACGUAACCCACUAAAGAGGCACCGGCUAACUCUGUGCCAGCAGCAGCCGCGGUAAG